ACUCCGGUUGAUCCUGCCGGCGGCCACCGCUAUAGGAUUUCGAUUAAGACAUGCGAGUCGAGAGUCGUUAUGGACUCGGCGGACUGCUCAGUAACACGUGGAGAACGUGCCCUUAAGUGGGGGAUAAUCUCGGGAAAUUGAGGAUAAUACCCCAUAGAUCAUGGGAUCUGGAAUGACCCAUGGUUCAAAGUUCCGGCGCUUAAGGAUCGCUCUGCGGCCUAUCAGGUAGUAGUGGGUGUAAAGUACCCCCUAGCCUACGACGGGUAUGGGCCUUGAGAGAGGGAGCCCAGAGUUGGAUUCUGAGACACGAAUCCAGGCCCUACGGGGCGCAGCAGUCGCGAAAACUUCACACUGGGGGCAACCCCGAUGAGGGAAAUCCUAGUGCUAGGACAUUUGUUCUAGCUUUUCUCAAGCGUAGAUAACUUGAGGAAUAAGGGCUGGGUAAGACGGGUGCCAGCCGCCGCGGUAAUACCUGCAGCCCAAGUGGUGGUCGAUUUUAUUGAGUCUAAAACGUUCGUAGCCGGUUUGGUAAAUCUUUGGGUAAAUCGGGAGGCUCAACUUUCCGACUUCCGAAGAGACUGUCAAACUUGGGACCGGGAGAGGCUAGAGGUACUUCUGGGGUAGGGGUAAAAUCCUGUAAUCCUAGAAGGACCACCGGUGGCGAA
rnacentral:rRNA from 1 species